GAGACCGGCGCACGGGUGCGUAACGCGUAUGCAAUCUACCUUUCACAAAGGGAUAGCCCAGAGAAAUUUGGAUUAAUACCUUAUAGUAAUACGACUUGGCAUCAAGAUGUAUUUAAAGAUUUAUCGGUGAAAGAUGAGCAUGCGUCCCAUUAGCUAGUUGGUAUGGUAACGGCAUACCAAGGCUACGAUGACUAGGGGAUCUGAGAGGAUGACCCCCCACACUGGUACUGAGACACGGACCAGACUCCUACGGGAGGCAGCAGUAAGGAAUAUUGGUCAAUGGAGGCAACUCUGAACCAGCCAUGCCGCGUGCAGGAAGACAGCCCUCUGGGUCGUAAACUGCUUUUAUUCGGGAAUAAACCUACUUACGUGUAAGUAGCUGAAUGUACCGAAGGAAUAAGGAUCGGCUAACUCCGUGCCAGCAGCCGCGGUAAUACGGAGGAUCCAAGCGUUAUCCGGAUUUAUUGGGUUUAAAGGGUGCGUAGGC
rnacentral:rRNA from 1 species